AUGCAUGUCUAUGUUCAAAUGGCCUACAAUGGUGAAACCGCGAACGGCUCAUUACAACAGCUAUUAUAUACUUGAUCUUGACGUCCUACGUGGAUAACUGUGGUAAUUCUAGAGCUAAUACAUGCACCAAAGCUCCGAUUUUUUGAAGAGCGCAUCUAUUAGAUUAAAACCAAUCGGGUUCGCGCCCGUCAAUUGGUGACUCUGAAUAACUAUAGCUGAUCGCAUGGUCUUGAACCGGCGACGUGUCUAUCAAGUGUCUGCCUUAUCAACUUUCGAUGGUAGUUUAUGUGCCUACCAUGGUUGUAACGGGUAACGGAGAAUAAGGGUUCGACUCCGGAGAGGGAGCCUGAGAAACGGCUACCACAUCCAAGGAAGGCAGCAGGCGCGCAAAUUACCCACUCUCGGCAAGAGGAGGUAGUGACGAAAAAUAACGAGACCGUACUCUUUGAGGCCGGUUAUCGGAAUGGGUACAAUUUAAACCCGUUAACGAGGAUCUAUGAGAGGGCAAGUCUGGUGCCAGCAGCCGCGGUAAUUCCAGCUCUCAAAGUGUAUAUCGUCAUUGCUGCGGUUAAAAAGCUCGUAGUUGGAUCUGCGCCUCAGGACUUGGUCCGCCCACUGGGCGAGAACUANGCUCCUGGGCUAGUUCUGCUGGUUUUCUCUACGUUGCCUUCAUCGGUCGCGUAGGGUGGCUAGCGAGUUUACUUUGAAAAAAUUAGAGUGCUUCACGCGAGCUUAUGUCUGAAUACUCGUGCAUGGAAUAAUAGAAUANGAUCUCGGUUCUAUUUUGUUGGUUUUCUGAUCUGAGAUAAUGGUAAGAGGGACGGACGGGGGCAUUCGUAUCGCUGCGUGAGAGGUGAAAUUCUUGGACCGUAGCGAGACGCCCGACUGCGAAAGCAUUUGCCAAGAAUGUCUUCAUUAAUCAAGAACGAAAGUCAGAGGUUCGAAGGCGAUCAGAUACCGCCCUAGUUCUGACCGUAAACGAUACCAACUAGCGUUCCGUCGGCGGUAAAUACGCCUUGACGGGCAGCUUCCCGGAAACGAAAGUCUUUCGGUUCCGGGGGAAGUAUGGUUGCAAAGCUGAAACUUAAAGAAAUUGACGGAAGGGCACCACCAGGAGUGGAGCCUGCGGCUUAAUUUGACUCAACACGGGAAAACUCACCUGGCCCGGACACCGUGAGGAUUGACAGAUUGAGAGCUCUUUCUUGAUUCGGUGGUUGGUGGUGCAUGGCCGUUCUUAGUUGGUGGAGUGAUUUGUCUGGUUUAUUCCGAUAACGAGCGAGACUCUAGCCUACUAAAUAGUCAUCGGAUAAACCAGUCCGAAAGACUUCUUAGAGGGACAAGCGGUGUUCAGCCGCAUGAAGUUGAGCAAUAACAGGUCUGUGAUGCCCUUAGAUGUCCAGGGCUGCACGCGCGCUACACUGGAGGAAUCAGCGUGCUGUAACCAUUGCCGAAAGGUAUUGGUAACCCCUUGAAAAUCCUCCGUGAUCGGGAUCGGGAAUUGCAAUUAUUUCCCUUGAACGAGGAAUUCCUAGUAAGUGUGAGUCAUCAGCUCACGUUGAUUACGUCCCUGCCCUUUGUACACACCGCCCGUCGCUGCCCGGGACUGAGCCGUUUCGAGAAAAGCGGAGACUGCUGUUUCGAGACCUUUCGAGGUGGAGAUUCUUUGGUGGGAACCGCCUUAAUCGCAGUGGCUUGAACCGGGCAAAAGUCGUAACAAGGUUUCCGUAGGU
rnacentral:rRNA from 1 species